rnacentral:SRP_RNA from 1 species
UGCUGACCGGGUGCCUGCACUAAGUUCGGCAUCAGUAUGGCGACCUCCUGGGAGCGAGGGGCCACCAGGUUGCCUAAGGAUGGCUGAACUGGCCCAGAUUAGAAACGGAGCAGGUCAGAACUCCCGCAACGACCAGUAGUGGGACUGUGCCUGGGCA